CCGCAAUACGCAUUCCAUGCGCAUGAUUGCGAAAUGUAGCCGUGUACCUGCCAUUGCUUCUGCCCAAGUGGGGAGCGAUGUGCUGGCAGGCAUAUGUCAGUUGGGUGGUGAAUGGAACAAGCAUGUUGCAGUCGCACCCGUAAUCUCCCGUGGCAUGGUCACGGUGGCGGGAUCUGCUUCUUCGACCCAUAGGAUGGUCGAUGACCAGGAUCAACGGGCUCGUGCUGCGGAGGCCGUUUAC
rnacentral:ribozyme from 1 species